UACGUAGGUGGCGAGCGUUGUCCGGAUUUACUGGGCGUAAAGAGCGCGCAGGCGGUCGAUUUAGUCGUGUGUGAAAGCCCCCGGCUCAACUGGGGAGGGUCACGCGAUACUGAUCGACUCGAAGGCAGGAGAGGGUAGUGGAAUUCCCGGUGUAGUGGUGAAAUGCGUAGAUAUCGGGAGGAACACCGGUGGCGAAGGCGGCUACCUGGACCGGUUCUGACGCUGAUGCGCGAAAGCGUGGGUAGCAAACAGG
rnacentral:rRNA from 1 species